UUGGAGUCAAAGUGGCAUUUUUCAAAAACAAUAUUUGAUCUGUGUCUCAAAUGCUCCAAUAUCAAACGAAAGGACGAACGGCAUCCUGGAUAAUUAAUCAUAUUAUAGCAGAUGACUUGUGUUCGAUUACAAU
rnacentral:snoRNA from 1 species